GAUGAAGAACGUAGCGAAAUGCGAUACGUAGUGUGAAUUGCAGAAUUCCGUGAAUCAUCGAAUCUUUGAACGCAUAUUGCGCCCACGGCCUCGGCCCAAGGGCAUGCCUGUCUCAGCGUCCGCUCACCCCCUCGCCCUCCCCCUUUCGAUUCGAAAGGGCGGUUUGGACGGAUGUGGCCGUCUCCCUCUCUCUUUUUGAAAGAGCGGGUCGGCUGAAGCGCAGGGCUCGCGGCGGGACCCCAUUCGAUCGGGGCGCCAGCAUGGUAGGUGGCUCAACGCUCACAUAUCGGCUGUCGUCUCCCACAUCACCGGGCGCUCCGCCUGCUGCCACAGCAGGAAAACCCCAAUCAAAACCUUGGACCUGAGAUCAGACAAGACCACCCGCUGAACUUAAGCAUAUCAAUAAGCGGAGGA
rnacentral:misc_RNA from 1 species